rnacentral:lncRNA from 1 species
AAAUAAACAAGAAAAUGAUAACCAACAACCAAGAAAAUAAUCAAACAUAUACUAAUUUUAGAUCCGAGAAUAUCAAACAAAAUAUGGACAGAAAUAAAACUUUAACCAACUAACCGAAUCGGAACAACGACGAACUCGAAUGGAAACAAAUCUGCCAGGAAACUUUGAAACCAAAAUAAACUCGAAUCUUCCCGUAAUCUCAACAACGACCACAGUCUGCUUACUCUUUGAACUCGAAGGGACUAUCAAUCGACGAACAAACCUAGAGUUGACGACGAACGACCUCGACGAACUAGGCCACGAACUGGACGACGAUGGGUGUCGUUUGGACUAAUUUCAUGUGGAGGAAGGGAUGGAGGAGGAACGUCGUUGGAAGAAGAAGGAGACAGGGCAAGGGGGCUGGAGAUGGGGAUGACGGGUGGUCUUUUGGAUAGUAGAUGUCGAGGGUGAUGGAGGACGGACUGUUUGCUCGUGAGCUGGCUGGUGGAGUUUGCUGGAGCUACUAGUUUUGGGGACGACGGAAAGGAAUGGGGGACUGGCAGCAGCUAAUCCCUGCUGCUGGCUCGACAGAGCUGCUGGCUGGAGGUCGAUGUCCAGCGUAGUCGGAUGGCGGACCGGACUGGACGAGGAGGAGGAGGAAGAUGGUUCAUUGCUGGAGGGAUAUUGUGGUCAAGUGGUGGCGUACUAGCUACUGUCGUCGACGACGGAGACGAUGAAGCUGAGGGUCAUUUGGAUACGUGAAGCAGCGAAAGAGGUGGUGGUUCGUUGGAGGUGAGGGCUGGUGGUUUUAGGGUUUGAGGGUGUGUUUGGAGAAGAUGAAGAUAGG